rnacentral:rRNA from 1 species
CUUGCUCCCUGAUGUUAGCGGCGGACGGGUGAGUAACACGUGGGUAACCUGCCUGUAAGACUGGGAUAACUCCGGGAAACCGGGGCUAAUACCGGAUGGUUGUUUGAACCGCAUGGUUCAGACAUAAAAGGUGGCUUCGGCUACCACUUACAGAUGGACCCGCGGCGCAUUAGCUAGUUGGUGAGGUAACGGCUCACCAAGGCGACGAUGCGUAGCCGACCUGAGAGGGUGAUCGGCCACACUGGGACUGAGACACGGCCCAGACUCCUACGGGAGGCAGCAGUAGGGAAUCUUCCGCAAUGGACGAAAGUCUGACGGAGCAACGCCGCGUGAGUGAUGAAGGUUUUCGGAUCGUAAAGCUCUGUUGUUAGGGAAGAACAAGUGCCGUUCAAAUAGGGCGGCACCUUGACGGUACCUAACCAGAAAGCCACGGCUAACUACGUGCCAGCAGCCGCGGUAAUACGUAGGUGGCAAGCGUUGUCCGGAAUUAUUGGGCGUAAAGGGCUCGCAGGCGGUUUCUUAAGUCUGAUGUGAAAGCCCCCGGCUCAACCGGGGAGGGUCAUUGGAAACUGGGGAACUUGAGUGCAGAAGAGGAGAGUGGAAUUCCACGUGUAGCGGUG